CUUUUAGUCCUGGGGCCUCUAAAGGUUUUCAUCAGGCUCUGCUUGGAGCCAAGUCGUGGGUCUAGAAAUGUUUGUGGAAAGUUGCAAGGGUUGGCCAGGAGUCAGAGCCAGAAGAGGCAAAUUGGUAUGCCAUGGGCAUGCUGUGUUAGUGGACAGGGGGAUGUCUGCUACCAUCAGCAUUCAUUAGCCCAAGCCAAGCAAGCUGCUCCUUUUCCCCUUAGUUCCUAUAGUUAGGAGAAUUUUCACUCUUAUUUAAUUUUCUUUUUUUUUUCCCUUCUCAUUUAUUUUUCGUAUGUUGAUUGGUAAUCCCUGACUCAAAAUAACUAUGACCUAUGGCUAUAGGCAUUUUUGGAAUUACUCUAAUUUGUCAAACGGGGAGGAAGGCAGGAUGAAGGGAAAGAGGAGACCACUCUCUGAGUUCUCGCUGGGUACCAGGUCCCCUAUUGGCAUUUGCGUGUGCUCCUCAACUAAUACUCCAGCAACUCCCAAAGGAGGGUGCCACUUUUUUUAUGGCCUUUGUAAGCCACAGAUCAAAGAGUAAACAGAGCGCUUGAGCUCUGAACCUUUAGACCAAGUACAGACCCUGGCACAUAUCAGGAGCCCCAUGAACGUGAACUGGGCACACACAGUGGAUGAUGGAAUUUGAAGCGAGAUGGUCUUUGAGAUUCUCUUAUUGGCAUUUCCCCAGAAAAAUCCCUUGAGUGUGUUUUAACUAACAGCCCGUUUAGCCUUUCUCCUGUACUCCGUAGCCACUGUCUAGUAUAUUCAUAAACAGGAAGAGAGAUCCAUUUCUUGCCGUCAUAAAUGCCGCAACUGCAAAGGCAUAAAUGUUUUAUGACCCUCACGUCCUUCCGGCACUUCUGGGAGAAAUACACAGACAUUUGCCUCCUUAUCCUUUCCUCUUGCUUCUCUCUGUUUGUACUGGCACAGGAAUAAAUCCAACCCGGAAAUAUUUUAUUCCAAGGCUAUUUCAUUUCAUCAUCCUCCAAGGUGCACCGGACGGGGCUUUGCAUGCAACAUUUGGAGUGGUGCAGAGCAAAGAAUGUGGUGUUUGCAGCUGAGCAGAUGUGGAAAUCCCAGCUCUAUUAUUUCCUAGUGGCCUGACAUGUCACCUAACCUCAGUGGAUCUCUUUCCUCAUCCGUAAAAGCAAACAAUGACUCCUCCUAGGGUUAUUGUGAUGCUUAGAAAGACCACACACAUAAAGAAGCUAUCCAAUUCAUUUUCCUUUUUUCUUUGGCCUCAAUAAAUGCUUGUGGUAUGUGUUGUUGGUUCCACGUAGCUUCCCUUUGGUUUCAUCACUUCAGUGACAAACAGAAGCCACCUGUGUGUUUUUAUGACCAGCGGCAGAUGGGGAGGGAUCCUUUAAGCGCACGAGAGGCCCCCUCCUUUGCCCAAAAGGAGAGGCUUCCUCAGUCCACAGUUUGCUUCUAGACUUCCGCCCUUUCAGAAUGCAAAUGGGUGGAGGGAAUGGAAUGAACUCCCCACCCAUUGCAAAACCCAAGCUUGUUGCUGUUGGCUGCUGCCGGGCCUCAUUAAGGACACCAGGCUGGGAGAUGACCUCUUGCAGCCAUUCUGCAGCCACAGCCCGGCAGUGUGUGGCCUGUCAGAAAGUUGGUGUGCUUGAUCAAACCAGGGUCUUAAAAGUGGUAAAUGUUUGGGUUCAAAUGAAGAGAUCCAUAUUAUCAUCCACAAUAUGAGAAGCCCUCAAAAGAUGGUGAAUACUAAAAACACCGGAGUGGGAAUCUGGACACCUGGCUUUUAGUUCCUCUGCUGUGUGACCUUGAGAACUCGAGCCGACUCUCCCUGUUCUAAGGCAUUUUGGCUGCUACAAGGUACUUCUUGCUUCCUUCUGGAUUCUCAGCGGAUUCCCAGGUAGACGGUGAAUCGCUUCCAAGCCUCUUUGACAAACAAAUGUUUCCUGUGAUUCAGAUGGGUCCAUAAAAAAAUCAGACAAGGACUAGAAUGUAAGCUUUAAGAGGGCAUGGACUUUGUUUUGCUGUCACUGUGUCCCCAGUACCUAAAAUAGUGCCCUGUGCACAGUAGGAGCAGAAAGAAAGAAAGAAGGAAAGAAGGAAAAGAAAGAAAUAAAGAAAAAGAAAAACAAAGAAAGAAAGAAAGAAAGAAAGAAAGAAAAAGAAGGAAAGAAAGAAAAACAAAGAAAGAAAGAAUGAAGCCACUGUUCUUAGAGAAGGGGAAAGAACCUUAAGGACUGGUGCUGGAAGACCCUGAAGAUAUCUGUAGUCUUACUUAUAACCAACUGUGCAACCUUGGGCAAGCACCCUACCCUCUUUGGAUUGCUGGUUGGUCUGUAAAAUGAAGUGGGUGAGAUGAGUGGAUGUGAAGAAGAUUGAACUCAGUAAUGGAUAUAAAGUAUUUUGGGAAAAAUAUUGUGCUUUCAUCAUUUUUCUUUCUUUGAAGUCUCUGUAUGGGAAAAUAUCCAGAUAGGCUUGUUCUGGGACCAUAGUGGACCAGCUGUGCACCAGGGUGGAUUCCAAAGACAUUGCCAGGUGGUUAGACUGGUGGAUUGUACCCAGAUCAAAUAUGUGCAAGUGGCAAAGACUGAGGUGUUUUCCAGAACUUUUUACUGGGGCUGGUGUCGUAUGCCCACCUGAUAAAUGAUGCUCUGAGCAGUGUUCAGGAACGAUUGAGGUAGGUGGAGACACAGAGAGAGCAGCACUUGGAAAAGCCUAUCAGUAAAACCUAAAGUGAAAAUUAGGGUUGUUCAGGUCAGAUUUGUGUCCACAAAAGAGUAUGAAGGAAAAUGAGGGAAGACAAAAACUGUUGAGAGAAAGCAAGCGAAAAAGUGAGUUUAUCAGGAGCUAGUUCGUGCUUGACCUCUUUUAGUUGUGUGACCUUGGACAAGUCAUUUCUAGAAGAACCAGGCAUUGUUUUUGGCCUUCUGGGGGAUGGAGAUGAGUAUAACUCAGUCUCAGCCCUCAGAGGUGUGGGAGAAGCAGGCAGGUAAAAUGAAGAUGCCACUGAGAAUGAUGACUGCUGAGAUAGAGGGGUGUACAAGAUUCUGUGGGAAUGCAAAAGGAAGCGGGGCUUGAAUUGGCUUGAGUGGCUCUGGGAAGGUAUUAAAGAGGAGGUGGUGUUUGAGAUGGGCGUUAAGAGAAGCCACCUUUACUAGGUAGAAUAGGAGCUAUGGUGGGUCAGGUCCCACUGUUCCUGAAGGAGAGAAUAACUUUCACAAAGAACGGAGGUAUGAGGCAGCAUGGUGUCUUUGAGCAAUGAACUGUGAUUUGGCAUAGCUCUAGCACUGGCUAUAUGGAAAAGAAAGCAGGGAAGAAGGGAGGGCACAGAUCAAAAGAUCCAGUAGAAGAGGCUCAUUGGGACUUUUGUACCUUUGGACAGUAAUAAGUCAAGGAAAAAUUGUAGGCAGAGGACCAACAUGGCCACAUUUGCAUUUCAGAACAAUCUUCCCAGCUCUGUGCGAAGGAUGAGCUGGAGGUGCAGGAGGACGGUGGCAGGGCCACCAGUGGAAGCCUGUGGCACCUUUCCAGUUGAGAGAUGAUUAAAGCAAAGGCCAGGGAGACAGGAUACGGGGGAAGAUAAAAAAAAAGAUGAAGAGAUGAGAUCAUCAGAGCCUCAGAUUCCCCAUCUAUAAAGUUAAAUGAAGUUAACUAGUUCUGAACCCAAUUUCUCUGAUGGCCUCAAAGACUAAAAUGGAGCGUAACUGUGGUUGAGAUUUGGAGAUACCAUGGGAAACGAGUGACCUCGUAAGGAAUUCCAUUUUGUAGACUAUCUAUAAUCUUACUGCCGGGUAUAUUUGCGAGGGAAGGAGUGUUCCAAGUUACCAUAACAGCCCUGCUAAAGGGUGAAGAAACUCUGCUGUGAAAUUGAAGAACGGGAUCUGAGACUGGGUUUAUUUGAAGGAUUGUAAGAGAGUCUCAAGGUUGAAAGAACCCUGAGAAGCCAACGUGUUGGAUGCUCUCGACGCCUCUACAACACGCUCACUAAGAGAUUGCCCAGUCUCCUCUUGGUCCCUCCUGUAAUGAGAAGAUGUUCACUUCCCAUCAGUCCCAUUUCUACCCCACCUUGGCCAGAGAAAGAAGUGCCUUUGAAAGAGACUGUCUUAAGAAUCCUCUCAGGAAAAUGCCUGAUUAAUGAAGGCUUUACAAAAGCAAGCUGUGGCCUUGAUUGAAAUUGAUUUCAUUUUUUCUCUUCUGAGGCCUAGCAGUAUUUCACACUCCAUGCCAGUUAGAGACAGAAACAUGGUUGAGCUCAGGAAGGAUUUUGGUGAAAAUAGAGCUCUGGAAGUCAGAUAAUUCUAAUGCCUAUGGUGCAGUUGAGAUGGUUCCAUCCAUGAUGUGGUGUCCAGAUGGGGCAGCAAGGGCAUACGGUAGAGGCUAAGAAAGCCAGAAUCCAUUUGUGGUGAUAAGGAUGAUGUAAAACCCUUAUCCUAGGAUGAAAACAGGAACUGUUAAUAAAUUAGGCAGAACCUGCUCAAGUGAGUGUGACUAGAGGAUUGGAAAAACAUUGAGGCAAUGACUACAAAUCCAAUGGGCUGCUUGCUACCCUCCCUCACCCCCACUUCCCUUAUCCUCCUCCCACUCCAAACCUCUUCUAAGUUUCUUCCACCGCCCUCCAUCUAAACUGACAACCUUCUUCCUCCUUCCUUCUCCACCCAGUUCUUUCUCACUCCAGGUGUCUGUCUCAUUCCUCACAUAGAAGCAAUGCCUUACGUUUUUACGAUGCCUCGCAGUUCACAAAGCCAGUUGGAACACAUGUUGUCAUCAACCCUGCAACCACACUUAGAGGUAGGUGCUGUCCCCAUUCUGAAGAUGAUGAAAAUGAGGCUAAGGGAGAUGACAUCACUUGCCCAAAGCCACAGAGCCACGUGGUGACAGAGGCAGCUGAUGGCCCACGCUCUUUUCUCCAAACAUUGCUCCAUCACUCCAACUUUACAGAUUAAGUCUCUGGUAUUCCAGUGUGCUGACUUGCACUGGAUCUUUCCUGGACAUAGGGAACCAAGUGAUCUCCUCAUUUGAGGAUCCCAAGGGAUGGCUACUUUCUCCUGGAGGGAUUUUAAGAGAAGGUCAAAAGAGAAUUUGUCUCCCUGAAAGUUGCCUUGACUUCUGGGGAAGUCUUAUUCUAACCACUAGAGUCUUUUCAUGUCCAGGCCCACUGCAUCCACCCAAACUCCAUUCUUAUGACACCAAUACUGUGGGCAGAGAAGGCUAGAAUCAGCAGUGUGCCCACACUGGCUCAUUCGUUAAAUUUUCAAGAAUUUUGCAAGCUGGUUGUGAAACACAGCCAUUAUUGAAAAUUAUGUAAACUUAUAAGCAAAUCAAUUAUCAUGAAAACAAAGGUAAGAAAUACUCAAGACACCACUUCUUAAUUAUUUUGCUACAUUUUACUAUUACUGCAAUUUCUAUAAUCUCGAGGUUAUUUACAUUUAAUGUAUGUGAAGGGUGAAGAUAUUUUAUAGGGAUGUAUUAUUGCUCUUCUCUUCCUGACUCUGUGACAUCAUAUUGACAGAUUGAAAUUGGCCAUGAGGGAGAAUGUUUACACCAUGGAAAUUGGCAAGAGCUGCAAAUCAAGGCCCCUUUUCUCCCUCAGAGAGCCAGUUAUGAAAUUUACUAGCCCAGCACUGGCUAAGAUAGAUAGAAGCUGGUAGUAAUUGGAUCUCUAGAAUCCUCAAUGCCCAGCUUGGUCUUCCUUCCUGCCAGCAUGAACUUGGGCAGAAGAGAUUAUGGUGUCUAGAGAGAAAUGGAGAUAAUAGACAUGAGGAGGUCCCUCACUAUUUGCCCUCGCUUCCUCUAGCUGGGGGCUGAUGAUAACACCAGCAGUGGUAUAAAACAUUUAACGCCUGCUUUGGGCCAGGUACUGCGUUAGAUGUCUGACAUGCCCUGCUCCACUGAAUCCUCACCAAAGCCAUACGAAGUAAGGAUGACUGUCCUCCUUUCACAGAUGGAAACCUGAAGUUCAGGAAGUGGAAUGACUUGCUCGAAUUUGCCCAGAGAGAUAGUAGUAGGACCAGGCUUUGAGGCCAGAUCUGUCUGAUCCCAAAUCAUUGCUCUUUCUGAAAAAGUGGUGGAAAUGGAAGUCACUGGAACUCUGGACCACCUUGAACAUCUGUUCUCACCUCCAGAAGCUCUUUGGUUGCUGUCGAUCAAUAAUCUGCCAGGUGUCUUUUGUUAAAAUUAAUCACUAAUUCCAAAUAGAAACCAAAUUUGAAGCAUCUAUUCACUUAUCAGAACAAUUUUUUCAAGGGCAUCUUAUGUGCCAGGCACUGUCUUAGGUGCCUGGGAUCCAGCAGUGGACCAUCCUUGAGAGCCCUGCCUUCAAGGAGCUUAUGAACCAGCAAGGAGUCGACGUUGGACCUGGCGAGACACUCAAAGAUCUAGCACCUCCCUGAUACGUCCCCAGAGCAUUCUCUUGGUUAUUAUGUUCAGAAAACUGGGUGACAAACACGUGCUCUCCUGAGAUCCCCAGGCCUUGCCUAGGCCUGGUAACCUCCACUUCUGGGGUUAAACUCCCUUUCUCUCCCCUCUUUCAAAACAAGAUUGGUCACCAAUUGUCACAUGCACCACUGCCACAGAGAGGGAAAAGCGGCCCUGGACUCUGUUCACAGAUGGUUUCCCCUUUCCUGGCAGAGGGAUUGGGAGAGAGGUGUGUACACAGUUUCCUCAAAUUGUGGUUUCCCGCGUGGGUUUGUGAUUUAAAUCCCUAUUUUUGGCAGUCACCUCCGCUGUAGACCAGCCAAUCGUGAAGCUGGGUCUGUUCCACACCCCACGGGGCAGAUUUGAUGUUAGAGCGGAGGUGUCUGAUGCGUUAUUAUUUCAUCCUUCUUUUUGGGGAAGGGAAGCAAAGCCAAUAGUUUGGGGAAUUUUUUUGCUUCUUUAAGGGCAAGGUCAGGCCAUUCUAGAAUACUUUGUGCAGCCACACCCAGGUUGCCUAAUGGGGAUAUUUACUGAAGCUUAUAUUUUGGCUGGGAAAUAGACCAUAGAACUCUUUUGGCAGGUGCAAGAAGGGGUGCAAUCAUUUUGAUCUAUGUCAUGUUGAUUUCCUUAGGCUAGCUGGAGUUACUCUCCCAAUCAUGAUGGUGGAAGAAACAUCUUGAAAAGCCUUGAAGCCAAGAGGAAAGUCCCUUGGGAAACUUGAUCAUUGAAUGUCUCUGACCACAGCCUCCGUCAGAUGUGAUUGGUUUUCAUUUAUCUGAAGAUUUGGGCCUGCCAUGGCAGCCUUCUCUCCUCCUCUUGACAUUUGUAAAGAGUGGUGAAUAUUGACUCCACUUGGAAAGUAUGCCUAGAAGAUGGCAUUCAUUCCAAGGGGAUGAUGAGAGAGGUAUGUUGGCACUGGGAAAUGGCAGGCUGGGAGUAGAGAGGAGAAACAGAGGAAAGCACCCACAUCGCUGGAGAGGUAUGAGCAUGGAGAGUCCCAACCUGGCAGGGAGAGGCUCCCAAAGCAGGUGUAGUCUGAGUCAACCUGGUUUUCCUCCUCAGGCUGCCUUCCUCUCUCUUCCACCAGGGACAUAGCUAGAUCCUCUUCCACAGAACUCCCCAAGAGGGUCCCGUUUUAGUAAUCCAGGCAAACGGAGCCAUUUCCCCAAGUGGGAACCACACACAGGAACUGGUAGUAUUUCUGUUCUCCAGAGUUCUUGAUCUUUUCUUUGCUUUUGACUACUUCCACCCCCUCUCCUUUGAAAUCCCUGCCCACAAGCAGCUCUCAGCUCUUCCCCAUCAGGGACAGUUUGACCAUUCAGCAAUUCUGCUGCCCAGGAAAACUCCAUGUUCUGAAAGAGUUUUUCUACUAGUAAUUCAUUUUCCUAGUUUACAUGAAUCAAAAACCUGGGAAGGGAGGAAUAAAGCUUCUAAACUGCAUGAGAUAAUCAGAGAGACGACAGCAGGUUCAUUUACUUAAUAACCACGAGAACUUGGACAUCUCAUUUUGCAUAAGCUUCUGUUGUUUAGGUGAACACAAUGAUAACAUAAUAAUAUACACCUCAAAGAGUUGUUGAGUGGAUUUUAAAAGACAAGGAAUAUAAAAUGCUUAGCAUUAAAGCUGAACUCGCUGUGAUCUCUCUGAUUAUCUUGUGCCUGAUGGAUUAGAGGACCAACAUUCGAGGAAAGCGUACUCUAAGUAGAUUUUUGGCACUGAGCUUGGCUUUGGGGAUACAGUGAUAAGCAUUCCUGUCCACAGUCUCUGUUCUUUUGGAGUUUCGAGUUGAGCAGGGAGGAAAAUCAAACUAGAAUAAAACCAGUGUGUACGAGAGUCUGUCUGGUCAAGUCCACGUGGUUCAGUUAUCCCAUCUGGUGGAGAAUUCUGUUUCUACCAUCUUAACUCUUGUCUAAAUAGAAGCUUUUCCAAAGUGUCUUUUUCUGACAGUGACUUACCUCCUAAGAGUUUCAUGUUUUCAACUUUCUAGUGAAAAUUGCCUUGGCUAUACUGCCACCAUUGUGUCUCAUUGAAAGUUUAUUCAUUGAACUCAUUGUGUCUAAAAGCAAGUUUAUGCUUUUCUUCUCUCUGUCCUGACAUUCCUUCUGAAAGGCACUAAUGUUCCCUAGUCAGCUGGGCUGACUAUCUGGGUCAUCUUCAGUCUCUUCUUUCCCUUGUCCCAUCUGUACUCUUCAUCACAAAUCUGUAGGAUUCCAAGCCAUAUCUAAACCUUCCUGUAGAUUAUAAUCAUCUCCCUGCCUCUAAUGCAUCAUGUAUACCCACCUCAAGUAGAUUAAUUUUCCCCAAACGUGGCUUUGUAAUAUGACUUGACAAACACCAUUUAUUAAUCACCUAUUAUAUGCCAGGUUCCAUGCUAAGCAUUUUAUAUUCAGUGUCUGUUAAAACCCACUCAACAAAUCUUUCAAGUGUUUAUUAUUAUGUUUACUUAAAUAACAGAAGCUUAUGGGGAAUGAGAUGUCCAAGAUCUCGUAGUUAUUAAAUGGCAAACAGAUUUGAGUGUAGAUUUUCUCUAAUUCAAAAGACUAUGUUUUCAACUACCAUGCUAAAUGGCCUGUUGAUUUUUUUUAAACAUCUGUUAUCAAUGAAAAACUAUUCAGUGGCUCCCCAUUGCAUAAAAGAUAAUGUCCAAAUACCAGGUCAGUUUCUCUCGCACUAUUUUUCAGCAUGAACUUGCUGCUCUGGCCAGGCCAGGAUCCUGAUUUCCCUUCCAAUCUGGGGUUCAUUCCAGCCUUUCCAAUUUGGGUCAUGCUGAGAGCUAUCUAAGAAGUUGGGAAAACUGAUAAAGGAGCCCGACUUAAGCACUUUUUAUAGAGCAAGAGUAACUACUCAACUCUACUUAAAUUAGAACAAGUUUAAGGAAAAUGACAAAUAUUAUGAAAUGAAUUGGCAUUCAAUGCCCUUGACUGGUGGCAAUAUGAGGUCAGCCUGUCUUUUGAUGUUCAUGAGCUAAUGAAACACUUGAUGAUUGAAGGGACUUGCAAAGUGUUCCUUGAGUGAAUGAAUGAAUUUCUGAGGGGUGAAUGAGAAAGCAAAAAAGGCAAGAUAAGAAGGAUGGAGAUCUUUGUACGAGCAGAGAGGGGCUGAUGUAGGCAGACUUUAUUUACAUGUUGAGGGCCUUAAAGUUUAAGCAAAAGCUAAAAAAAUAUAGAAUUUAUAUGUGCUAUUUUAAAUAUAAGGGUUUAACAGCUCAGAACUCGUAACACCAAGAGUAUAUCACAUUUGUGCUAUUCAUAGGGUGAAACAGACUUUAUAAACAGUGUUAUGCUGUAUCUCCAAAUAUGAGGCAAGAUCUUCACGCCCCUCUCUCCCUGAUUACCCCUGAGAAAAGAGAGUUUCUUCAUACUCAAGUCCUUGUGGAGCGUCUCAGAUUACAGGAUGAUUUCACAACGUAUUUUGUUCCAUCAUCAACAUAGUGUUGGAGGAAGACAAUUAGCCUGAGCUGAUCUCAAGUGUUGCAAGUUUGAGAUGUUUACAGAAGUAAGCUGAUGUAGUCAUUUAAAAUGAGGCAAAGGGAUCAAAUGCAGAUUCAAUAAUUUUUCUUGGGUUCUGCCUUCCCAAAUGUGAAGGAUGAGUAGAAGUGUAACAGAUGGCUUCAUGAAACAGCAGAAUUAAGUGGCUGUGCUUUGAAUAUCACAAGACGCACCAGAAGACAAAGGAAAACAAACUCUUCCAAUGUUCUGAAAAUGGGUACUUGUUGCUUGGGAUUAUGUUUGGGCUGUGAGUAUGUUUUGUGGAUUAACUAAUAGCCCUUAAGCAGAAGUAUAGGUGAUACACUCUGGGAAACUAAGCUGGACAACUCAAAUGGCUCUAGUGAUGCUGAAGACACUGAUGUUGAAGAUGUAAAUGAAGACUUGGAAUAAAGUCUUAUUACAAUAUACAUGAGCAUGGGAAAAAGCAGUAUUUCCACAUUAAUAAAAUUU